GGAAUCAUAGCUAAGUGGUUAUAGCGGCCGCCUGCAGAGCGGCAGGUCCUGAGUUCAACUCUCAGUGGUUCCU